CGACCUAAUUUUAGAACAUUUUCAUCCCCCCACAAAGAAGCCCACCUUGUUAGCAGUCAACCCCUGUGCCCCGCUCCCCUGCUCCCGCAAGCAGCCACUCAUUACUUUCUCUCUGUGAGGUGGGUAUUGUUGCUCCCGCGUUCACAAAUGAGGACAGCCAGAGCUCACUGGGGCUUUCAGCGGGAGGGUGGCGUGAGCGUUUUGUGACACCCAGAUCCAUCCAGCCUCUCUAUGGAGAACAGACUGCUUCAGAGUCACAUCCGGCGAAAAGGCAAAAGGCGGCGCCCGUCUCCCCUUUGACACACCGUGUCAGGAGAGUGUGUGGCAGAGACUGGCUGGCCAAGUAGCAUGACAGAUACAACGUCAAAUUUGGAAAGCGAAAAGGUUUAGCCGUGCUCAAAAACAAGUUGAAUGUCUCUGUGGACCGGAAGUGAAUAGAAAUGUGACGUGGGGGACUGAGGCUGUAGGCCUGCUGGGCCUGGGGCGCCCACCCUGGUCCAAGGAGCCGAAAAGGCAAAUGCAGUGAGGACAACCUGCCCAGCCCACACAGGACCCCAGCGGGCCAGCCGCUGUGGCAUCCACACCACCACGCAGGGCGGGAUAACUCGGUGUGGCAGAGAGUGGAUCCCCUGCCCUCCUUCUGGACUCACUGGGCCUCUGGCUGCCCAGCUCCACAUCUCCCAGCUUCUCUAGGUGACGGGUGCGGCCACAUAGCCAGGAUCUCACAAUGGAACAUCAGAGAGGAGGAUAUGCACCGCUUUCUGGCCCGUAAAAACGCCCGCACGGCUUCCCCCUUACCAUAGGUUGGGAUGACGGCAAAGAUGGAUCCGUGCCCGUUGCUGCUGAGACAAAUUACAACCAAGGUUGUGGCUGAAAAAAUGCAGAUACUUACAGUUCUGGAGGCCGGAAGUCUGAAAUCAGUUUCGUUGGGCCAAAGUCAAGGCCAAAGAGAGACCCCAAGGAAGAGCCCGCUGCCCCUUCCAGCUUCUGAAGGCCACCUGUACCUGCAUUCCGUGCCUCGGGGCCUCUUGCUCGAGUCACUGAGAAUAACAGGCUUGUGUUGUCACAUCUACUCCUCUCUGUGGUGGAAUCUCUCACUGCCUCCCUGUUGUGGGGACCUUGUGAUCACACUCAGGACCCAACCGGAUAAUCCAGGAGAAUCUCCAGAGUCCCUUUUUCCAUAUAAGGUAAUAUUCACGUGUUCUGACGAUUGCCGAAUGGACAUUCUCGGGGGCCGUUAUUCAGCCAGCCACAUUAAGGUGACAGGUAGACCUUGGAAGCCAUGUGCUGGAGACGGCAGAGCCCCACUAGCCUGGGUCCCUGCGAGACUGAACGGAACAGAUCUUCCUUACCAUCCCCUCCUCCUCCUCUGUCUGACCGGGAACAUACACCCUGGCCUGUUGCAUGAGAUGGAAAUGAAAUCCUGUGUUUAAGACAUGAUCUGCGCAGUCCAAUUUGUUACAGGUGUCUGGCCCACCCCAAUACAGAGAGCUUGGAGGCGAGUGCAGAACAGGAAGACGGGCAGGGCCCCACACCGAGGGAGGAAGAGAAAAGCAAAACAAAACACUUCCCACUUGUUAUAAACCAAUGUUGCCGCAAUUAAAAAAAAUAAAGUAGGGGCUGGCCCCGUGGCCGAGUGGUUAAGUUCUCACGCUCCGCUGCAGGCGGCCCAGCGUUUCGUUGGUUCGAAUCCUGGGUGCGGACAUGGCACUGCUCAUCAAACUACGCUGAGGCAGUGUCCCACAUGCCACAACUAGAAGGACCCACAACGAAAAAUAUACAAAUAUGCACUGGGGGGGGGGUCUUUGGGGAGAAAAAGGAAAAAAAAAAUCUUUUUUAAAAAAAUAAAGUAAAAAAUAUUUUAAGAAACACUUCCCACUUAAAAGGGAAAAGAGUUAGAGGGAGAAAACUCCCCAGGCUCUUGCUCUCUGCAGUCAUGUUUACCAUGGAAUUAUUCCCCUGCUAAUUUUUCAUGCCCCACUUUGCCAUGUCCCUUCUAAUUCAAUUCCACACUUCCUCAUGGUCCUACUAUGAUCUCAUGAUUAUAGCUUUUCUUUUAAUGAACUUGGAAUCAUUUGUGGGGGGAAAGGACCUAGUGAUCAUCUGUUUCAAUACCAUUAAUUUCCAGGUGGGGACUAGAAGCCAGUGGAUCUAAGAGAUUUGCCCAAGAUGACACAGCUGGCUGGGGCCAGCCCUCUGGCCGAGUGGUUAAGUUUGUGCACUCCGAUGUGGCAGCCCAGGCUUUUGCUGGUUUGGAUCCUGGGCAUGGACGUGGCACCACUCAUCAGGCCACGUUGAGGUGGCGUCCCACGUGCCACAACUGGAAGGACCCACAACUGAAAUAUACAACUAUGUACUGGGGGAUUUGGGGAAAAAA
ensembl:lncRNA